UACGUAGGGUGCAAGCGUUUGUCCGGAAUUAUUGGGCGUAAAGAGCUCGUAGGCGGUCUGUUGCGUCCGCUGUGAAAACUCGGGGCUUAACCCCGAGCCUGCAGUGGAUACGGGCAGACUAGAGGUAGGUAGGGGAGAAUGGAAUUCCCGGUGUAGCGGUGAAAUGCGCAGAUAUCGGGAGGAACACCGGUGGCGAAGGCGGUUCUCUGGGCCUUACCUGACGCUGAGGAGCGAAAGCGUGGGGAGCGAACAGG
rnacentral:rRNA from 1 species